CUGUACGCCCCACGACAAAAUCACUCACGAUGACGGAGUGGCUGAGUCGAGUGGCAUACCAGGAGUCAAGCAUACCGAAAUCCAUCCACCCUUCUGUCUCCUUCGACCUUUUUCUUUUGAUGGUAUGUCAUGCAUGUUGUCUCGUAUAUUCUUUAGAUUCAAAGAUUUGUAUUUCACAUUAUGUGAAGGUAUGUUCGUAUGCCUCCCUGAAAGAUUUGGAUUCAUUAAAAAAUAGAAAAGCCUAGCAUUAAAUAUUAAUUUUCCUUAUUCAGUCUUACGUUUCACAAGUUGGUGUUAAUAGUGACAGGGAAGCCAAAUUUGAGCAUCAGGGAUUUUGCACAGGGGGUGAUGAUCCUGGAGAAAAAAAAAUGCGUUCUUCAUUUUGUUGCUGAUUAUUUGUAAAUAAGUAAACAAGGAGUUUUAGACUGGUUCAGAUAGAGAAUUUUUGGGUAUUUUUGACAUUGGAUUGUGUGGAGGUUUAAGAUUUUCGAUCGCAUAUGUUGGAUAGAAUAUAUUUAAGGUCACAUUCGGUUGAAAAUGAUGCUUUGUCUAAUGUAAGCAUUCAAGAAACUGUUAUUCGAAUUGUACCAAAUACCAAUCCAACUCUUGUAAUUGCCAUAA
rnacentral:lncRNA from 1 species